UUUCAUGGCUUAGGCAAAUUGUUACACAUAUAGACCAUGUUGGCCUGGAUGACUGAAUAUGUUGAGAAUGUUCAGUACCGAUAGCUUUCUUUAGUUUUGGUGAAUCUUGGAAAGUAGCACAUUAUUCGGAGUGAACAGUAAUUCAUCAGAGUGAACAGAAAGAAGAGUGAUUAAAUUGAAUUUAUCAUCCUCAAAUAGGGGGCUUAGUAAAUAGCGCACUCAAAUAGGGGGCUAUUUACUAAGGUGUGGUAAGAAUUUAAGUAUUCUAACAAGACAUGGGAUGGUAGGCAGCUUUCAAGAUGACCCCAAUUAUCCUGACUUUGUGCUAUUCACUGCCUCAUGUAAUCUCCUCCCCUUGAUUAAGUUGUUUAUAACCAAUAGGAUAUCUCAACUUUGAGGGUAUGCCACUUCUAUGAUUAAAUUACAAAAGACUCUGACUUAUGUCUUUCUAGCAGACACUUGCCCUUACUGGCUUUGGAGCAGCAAGUGGCCAGGCUGGAGGGGGCUACAUGGCAGGGGAUUGAGGAUACCCUCUGGUCAAUAGCCAGAAAGGAACUCAGCCCCUUAGUCCUACAAUCCAAAAGAAAAUAAAUACAGCAACAAUAAAUUUGAACUAAAUCCUUCCUUAGUGGAGCUUUCAGAUGAGUACCAGUCCUGGCCAAUACCUUGAUUGCUUCUGCUGGGACAUCCAGAGUCAGAGGAUACAGCUAAUCCAUGCCUGAUUCCUGAUCCAUGGAAACUUUGAGAUAAUUAAUGUGUGUUGGUUUAAGCCACUAAAUUCAUGGUAAUUGAUUAUGCUGCAAUUGAUACUUAAUAUAGAUGAUGACACUUGGGAGCCACUACCAUCCAGGUCUGAGCGGGAAAGGAGAUAAAGCAGGUACCAGACUCCAGAGGGCAGCUUUAUGGAGAGAGACUGGAGCUGUAGCUGUUGGGAGAGGAACAAACACAUCAAAGCAACUUAGCAAGAGGGAACUGGCAGAAUACUUAGCGGCCUUAAUCUCCCACUGUCCUUGCAUUCCUGCCAGAGCUUUAUUUUGACCUGCCUGAACCAGAUGUGAGAGGAGACCCACUGUUGCUUGUCUCUGUGGGCCAUCUUCCUGGGCACUAAGCAUAAUGAACAGUGUAUCCAUUUGUUAGGGCUGCUGUGACAAAGUACUACAAAACAGGUCGCUUAAAACAACAGGAAUUUAUUAUCUUGGGGCAGCGUUUUCUUCCCCUUAGACCAUGGACCGGUACGGGUCUGUGGCUGGUUAGGAACUGGGCUGCAAGUCAGGAGGUGAGUAGUGAGUGACUAAGCAUUACCACUUGAGCUCCACCUCCUGUCAGAUCAGCUGGCCGUUAGAUUUCCAUAAAAGCGUGAACCCUAGGGUGAACUGCGCAAGCGAGGGAUCUAGGUUGCACACUCUUUAUGAGAAGCUAGUGCCUGAUGACCUGAGGUGAAGCAGUUUCAUUCUGAAACCACCCCCACAAACCCGCAGUUCAUGACAAAAUUGGCUUCCAUGAAACCAGUCCCUGGAGCCAAAGAGGUUGGGGACUGCUGUCUUAGGGUUCUGUAAGUUAGAAGCCUGAAAUCAAGGUUUCAACAGGACUAUAUUUCCUCUGAAGCCUAGAAAAGAGAAUCCUUCCUCACCUCUUCUUAGAUUCUGAUGGUUUGCAGUGAUCCUUGAUGGUCCUUGCUUUGCAGCUGCUGCUUAGACAGCUGGCUCUGUCAUCGCAUAAUGUUUUACCCCCAUGUGUCUGUGUCUUCUCUCUUCUUUUACCCCAAACAUAUUGCAUUAGGGCUCACCCAAAUGCAGUGUGACCUCAUCUUAAACUUGAUUACAUCUGCAAAGACCCUAUUUCCAAAUAAGGGCACACUCACAGUUACUGGGGGUUUUGAUUUAAACAUACCUUUCUGCAGGACACAAACCCAUAACUGACAGGAAGCAGAGUACAUCAGGAAGGACAAAUAGAAGAGAUCCAGCACAUAACACCGUGGGAAGAGAAAGCAUCUUUGCAUAUACAAUAUGGAUAAUGUUCACUCCCUGGUACGCUUGUUGGUGAUAUCACAUGAGAUAAUACUGCAAGGCAUCUGGCAGUAAAACGUCUGUUCUCGAUCAUGGUAUUGGAGGCAACAAGAAGUAGAGUGCAGAAAUCAGGAGAAAAGGAGUUGGAAAAAAUUCAAAGCCUAAAGCUCUACUAAGUUAUCUUCUGGCUUGGGCAUAAACUGAUGUAAACAUGAGAAAGAAAAUAGACAAACCAAAAUUGAGAAACAGUCUACAAAAUCAGACCUGUAUUCUUCAAAUGUCAAGGUUGAGGAAGACAAAGAAAGACAGUUCCUCAGCACAGAAGUACUUUUGAUGUGUUGCAGCAGUGACUCCUUUGGGUGGUGCACGUGUGAAAGACGGAUGACAGAUGAAUUCCUAGGCAGCUGCUCGAUGGCAAAUGGAGGACAGACCCCUCAAGUAUGUGGGCAGAAGGACACAAUGAAGCAAAACUCAAGCAGCGAGGCAUAGCUGCGGAACCCAGGGACAUGUCAGCAAGACUCUCCACAACAGGAAAUCAGGGCCUCGUUUUGAAAUUCAAAUUAGCAGCUAACCUCACUGUCUCUGAAGCAAAUCUUUUAAAAUCGAAGCACAUUAACUGCUUGUUUUGUAAUCAAAAAUAAUUUUCCAUUCACCAGCAUAGCAGCUCUUGAAGGUUAAGUAUCAGAUUCCUUAAUUUCAAUGAUAAAACUUAAAUCAAAAUAUCUUACAGCUGAACCUUUUAUUCUACCUGCAUACUUAGAAAGACAUUUACGUUUCCAUGUAAAAUGCACUUUCUUGCAGUUGUUUAUUAAGUAUACAUCUGAUUCAGUGAUGUUAUUGCCUUAGAGACAAUUUGCAGAAAGAUUUGCAAAAAAUGUUCAGGCACACAACUCUAUAGAAUAACUAGUUCAAAUAUAUCUACAGUCAGACAAGAGUCAUAGUGUAUGUGAGUUCAGAUAUUUGGCAUUCUGGAAUUAUAUAUAAAAUUCAAGAUUUUGUAUGUCUGGGACUGAAUCUAGGAAUUGAUGUUUGAGAUUUAAAACCCUAGAAACCUUUUAUGUUUCCUGUAUUAUAUUCAAACGAACACCUAUAUAUUUAUUCGAAGCAAAUAUUUAUUAGGUGUUGAAUUUGUACAUAGUGUGUUAAACCAAACAUACAUUGGGAUGACAAAUUAAUGCUGAGUUUCUUUUGUUUGUUUGUUUUUGGAGAUGGAGUCUUGCUCUGUCGCCCAUGCUGGAGCGCAGUGGCGGGAUCUCAGCUCACUCCAAGC